rnacentral:lncRNA from 1 species
GUGAGCUGGGUGGGCUAGUAUUGCCAGGUAGUUGAUACUCAUCCACUUCACUCCCAUGAGCAGCCCUCAUCAGUGACUAACUGAUGGGAAAUGAUGGAAAACUCCCAGCUUACUGGCCUCUCGGAUGGGAUAAACUCAAGUGUACAGUUCUGUGGCAUCAAGUACAUUCAGAUUGUUCUGCAAUCAUCACCACCAUCCAUCUCUGGAACUUUUUCAAGGUGGAUAUCCAGUUGUUCCUGCACCCAUUUGUUGAAGAGACUGUCCUUUCUCCAUUGGAGUCCCCUUGCUCCUUUGUCAAAGAUCAGUUGGCUGUAUUUAUGUGGAUAUAUUUUUGGGCUCGGUACCCUGUUGUACUGAUCCAUUUGUCUAUUCUUUCACAAUACCACAUUGUUUUGAUUACUGUAAAUAAUAUACUAAGCCUUAAAGUUAUUAAGUCUUAAGGUUUAUAAGCAAGUCUUAAAGUUAAGUAGUCUCUGUCCCCUGACGUUGUUCUCUUUCUUCAGUGCCAGUUGUGCUGGCUAUUCUGCAUCUUUGCCUUUCCAUGUAAACUUCAGAAUCAGUUUCUGGAUACCCACAUCCAUUGAGAUUUCAAUUCUAAUGAUUUCAUAUGUAAUCAGAGAUGGAGGUAUUUAGAAGUCUUAUUUGGGUUUUUUUUUUGGUGUGUAUAUGUGUAUCUUUUAAAAUCUUCCUUAUUUAUUUAUAGUCUUAUAUUCUUUGUGUAUUCUAUUUAUUUAAAUAUUUUAAAUGUCAUUAUUCUAUAUUAUGCAUCAGAUAAUUCAAAUAUAUAACAUCCUAGAGUGUCGAAUUAUGUUGCUUAUUGUUUCCAUUGACUCUCAUGCAUGGCAGCUUCUUUUUUCACGUGUUUUGUUAUUGUGGAUCAUGAACUCAUACUCAUCAGGUUUUAAAUGUGGGAAAAUAUCAGACCUUGACUGGGCGUGUGUCCCUUUAGGAGAUUUUUUUUUUUUUUUAGUCUGAAAGGACUGAGCACAUAGGAAUAUUACCAACCUGGAUCAUAUAAAGUUAAUUUUUGAAGUUUAUUUUGAGGUCUCUCCAUGUGAUUUUUCUGGACCACAGAGGUAAUAUGUGUUCAAGUUUUUAACCCAUAUGACAGAAGGCCUAUGGUUCUGAAUCCUCAGAGAACUUUUUCAUCAUUCAAAUUUCAGCCCAAGAGGACUAGUUU